rnacentral:misc_RNA from 1 species
ACACUUCAACUCUCAUGGUUUGCCAUGAUGAGCUUGGACUUUGGGGGUCUUGCUGGCCUACGGUCGGCUCCUCUCAAAUGAAUCAGCUUGCCAGUGUUUGGUGGCAUCGCGGGUGUGAUAACUAUCUACACUUGUGGUUUUCCACCAGAUAACCUUCAGUGAUGAAGGUUCGCUGGAGCUCACAAACGUCUCUCCUCGGCGAGGACAGCUUUCUGAAC